rnacentral:rRNA from 1 species
GACGAACGCUGGCGGCGUGCUUAACACAUGCAAGUCGAACGGAAAGGCCCUGCUUUUGUGGGGUGCUCGAGUGGCGAACGGGUGAGUAACACGUGAGUAACCUGCCCUUGACUUUGGGAUAACUUCAGGAAACUGGGGCUAAUACCGGAUAGGAGCUCCUGCUGCAUGGUGGGGGUUGGAAAGUUUCGGCGGUUGGGGAUGGACUCGCGGCUUAUCAGCUUGUUGGUGGGGUAGUGGCUUACCAAGGCUUUGACGGGUAGCCGGCCCGAGAGGGUGACCGGCCACAUUGGGACUGAGAUACGGCCCAGACUCCUACGGGAGGCAGCAGUGGGGAAUAUUGCACAAUGGGCGGAAGCCUGAUGCAGCAACGCCGCGUGCGGGAUGACGGCCUUCGGGUUGUAAACCGCUUUCGCCUGUGACGAAGCGUGAGUGACGGUAAUGGGUAAGGAAGCACCGGCUAACUACGUG